rnacentral:lncRNA from 1 species
GUUUUUCAUCUGAGACACCAAAUGGAGUCAAACUUUUCUGUUUAAAUUCAAAUUUGGCUGGGAAUUGCGGAAAUUCCUUUGGCCAGACCUACUCGGAUUCUGCGCCUUGUUUCGAAUUUGAUAUCGAAACCGAGCCGAACAUGGACGAGCAACACGAAGGCGACCACAGAGCACGACAGGCGUUGUGAAUGGCGCCCGGAGCGCAACGCUGGCGAUGUGAUGAAUCCGACGAGGAGGGACAGCUGCGGUAGCAGCAGCAGUAGCGGUGGCAGAAGGAGCGGCAGCAGCAGCACGUACGAGCGGGACACUGGUGAGAAUGAGAGCGAGCAAUUCGUGAAUAUUUCAUGAACGAACGCGUCACGGAGCGACGAGAAUAACGGUAUUCGGUCGCAAGUGCUAUUCCAAAACGAUGGCAAUGGCGUCCUCGUAAUCGUCGUACUCGUCCUCGGAGAGAAAAAUGUAGGGAAACGCAUCCUGUCGUUGUCGUCGCCGACGUCGCCGUCGUUGCCGCUGUCGUCGUCAUUACCAUCGUCGGCAGAAGGAAAGCCGCCUGGUGCUGGGUCUUCAACCGUUUUGCCACCGCCACCGUCGUCGCUGUUUGCUCCUGGUGCCGCUGUCGUUGUCGUUGCCGUUGCAGUGGCAGUGGCUGUGGCUGUGGCAGCAGCGCCUCUGAAUUUUUGGCCAAUGCGUGUGCUGCUGGCGUUCAGUAAGAAAAGCGUCGCCCAGCGGUCUAGUACGAACGUAUACCGAACGCUUUGUGUUCUUCCUGUUCUUUGGGUUCCACCUCCGUAUUACCGUAUAGACGACGUAUCUAAAGCGAACCAGCGAUAGUGUGUGUGUGCGUUGAUCUCGUCUCUUUUUGGUUCCGGUGCGUUAAACACAAAAGAAACUGAAACUUCUGCAACUGAGAUCUGCCUAAAGUCACCUGUUUUUUUUCGAGGGUGGGAAAGUGCUCAAUGAUCUACAGAUAGAGCCUUACUCUUUUAUCCUUGUCCUGAUCCUUCUUCUGUUGGUGCUCUUCCAGCCAUACAACUUUUCGGCGACUUUCAUUAAACUUUGACAAAUGUUUUCAGAUGAUUUUCCCUCAGUCAG